AUUGAACGCUGGCGGCAUGCCUUACACAUGCAAGUCGAACGGCAGUCACGGGAGCAAUCCUGGGUGGCGAGUGGCGAACGGGUGAGUAAUAUAUCGGAACGUGCCCAGUUGUGGGGGAUAGCCCGGCGAAAGCCGGAUUAAUACCGCAUACGACCUGAGGGUCGAAAGCGGGGGAUCGCAAGACCUCGCGCAGUUGGAGCGGCCGAUAUCAGAUUAGCUAGNGGUGAGGUAAAGGCUCACCAAGGCGACGAUCCUGUAGCUGGUCUGAGAGGACGACCAGCCACACUGGGACUGAGACAC
rnacentral:rRNA from 1 species